rnacentral:lncRNA from 1 species
UACGACGGCGUUUAAUGAGGAUACUACAUCAUUUGGAUUAGUGAAGAACCCAAACUAAUCUUAGCCCUUGAUCUGUCAUCAUCCAACGGACAUGGACGCCCAAGGUUUUCGAUUUAUAAUUAACGGGCCCAACCUACCCCCAUUUCUCAUCGUCUUCAAGACACCCUUAGAGACUCCUCUUCGUCUCCGCCGCCUGCCGUCGCAGGAAAUCGCCCACGGCGGCGACUGACUUCCAAUGACGCCCAAAUUCAGACCACUAAAUCCUCCUUCUCUCCUCAUUCCAUAUCUGCCAUUGUUUCCUAUCGAAUCAAUCCCGAAUCCCUCGAAUCUUAAAUCAAAAUUCCGGUCAAAAAACCAAAAGUCCUCUAAUUCUCACAAAACUCAUACCCUAGGGUUUCCUUGACCUCCUUUACUCAAAUCCCAACCCAAAACCCUUCAAAUCCGCUUUAACCUCUUCAUAUCUUAAAUCUAGGGUUUGGGGGUCAGCCUUUUUUUGGGCAUUUUCAAGGUCAAAUGAUUCCUAUUUAAUGUUAUGUGUCUAUUUUUGAAAAAAUAGACACAUAACAUUAAUGGGAAUCAAUUUCUACUAGGCAGACUUAUGGAGUCCGAAAAUCAGUGAGUAUGCUUAAUUUUUUUAUUUUAUUUUUAGUUUAAAUUUUUUCUUUCGCCUUAUCUGGUUUGAAUUCUGAAGCAUUGUUCAUGAUUGAAUACGUUCUUAUGCUUGUUUUUUUGGCUUAAAAAGAUUUUGUUCCUGUUUUCUUUUCUUCUUCAUUUGUGAUAUGUGAAUUAAGCUCAUGUUCAUGUUUCCUGAUUAGUUAGUAAUUUGAGCAUGUUUUUCAUAAAUUGGUCAUUAGCUUAUUUCAGUUCUUGUUUUGGUUUAUGUGUUCUGAUUUGUUGUGUUUGAUUCUAAUUGUUGGUUUGAGUUUAAUUUGUUUUAAUUCCUGAUUUAGUUCGUUUUUUAUUUUGAACUCUCUGAUAGUUUGUUCGAUUAAUUAGUUUUGUUAGGUUUAUUUGAAUUGUUCUCUGGUGCUAUUUUAGGUUAAAUACACAAAUUGUUAUCAAUACUGCUCUAAUCGAGUGCUCAGCUCAUGUUAGCUGUUAUAGUUAGGUGAAUUGGUUUGUCGCUGUUAGUUGUGAUCAGAGAAGAAGGGGUUGGGGUCAACUAGUACAGCUUUUAUAAUUUUAGGUUGAAUUCAAGGGUAGUUUAGACAUUUAGGAUUGGGUAGCACAUGGUAGUUGAAAAUAGAAUCUUCUAGGACCUUUCAAAGUAGGACUUUAGUAUAAUUUCAAUAAUUAUAUUGUAUUAACUUGUGACAAAAGUCAGAAAAUAAGGGGUUGAAUGAGUAAAUAAAGAGGGACUGGAAUGAAAACAAAAACCUGAGGGCUGCCCAUUAAUUUGCUUAUAUAAGGCAGUCAGUCACCUCUACCUUGAAAAAAAAGGUUUUUGAACCUCUAAAAGUCCCCCCCAAAAAACUCUCUAAGUUUACACAUAUCUAAGUUAUUCAAUAAGUUUUCAGUUUUGAUUUUGAAUUUCAAAUUUCUGAAAUCUUCAAAAACCCAAACAAAAACAGAAAUAUAGGAGAAAAUUAUAUAAAAAUAGUACUAUUCCAUUCAAUCUCUUAGCUAAUUUCUAGUUUUAGUUAGUUGAUUUGCAUUUUUAUCUCAAUAUCUGGUAGUCGAAGUUCAGUCGUGUAUCUGGUAUGUUUCCAAAUGGGUUUUGGGUUCAAUUGAAGCAGUUUUGGAUUAGUUUGGAUGUUGUGUUGCUAGGAUAUGUUUCUGGGUUUGAUUUGAAGGUCAUUUGGGCUUAUUCAAAUAUUUUUUGGCUUGAUUUAUUGAUCCUGUUGGUUUUAAAACAUUUAUGUACUCCUAACUCGUUUCUGAGCUGAAGUUGGGUUGAUUUUUGCUGUUUGAGUUCCAAAAUUAUUGUUGUCUUCUUUUCUUUUGCUAACCUCUCCGUCUAUUCGUCGUAUUUCCAGGUACAAGUUUAAGUCCUAAUAACAUGUAAAUGAGUUUUUGAUUGAUUCAAAUGGAAGGGGAUUCUAAGCGUUGGUGCUUGCUGAAUUUGUUCCUCAUUGUUUCAUUUGCAUAUUGGCUGAUAACUUAGUUCCUUCGUAGUUGAAUAUCAUAUUGUUGUAGUUCUGUUAGGAUAAUUUGUAUAACUGGGUUGUACACUUGGAGUUUGGAUUAGUGUAGUAUAGUUUGAAUCCGUUUGAUGAUUGUGUUUUCAAUUACAGUAACGAUUUCAGUAAUUCAGUGUUAGUAAUGUUAGCCUGAAAUAAUUGGACUGCUUUAUGAAUUAAUUGGACUGCUUUGUGUCCGCAGAAUCAUAUUGCGGUAAUUAAGACCAAUAGUCUAGAUGCUUGAAUUAAGUCAAAAGUGUUAGUCUACUUUGUACUCUUAGAUUCGUGCCUCUAGCAUGGUUCUCACUUUAAUAAUGGCCAGGACUCAUAGAUAAAUGAACCAGUAAGCAAAUCUGAGCAUGAAAUCAAAAUUAAAACAAUUAAGGUUCUGUUUAUUUGUUACAAGUUAUUGAAUGCAUUUAGAGUAACUUGAACUUAACUCAGGAUAUUCUCGUUUCUAUUUGGGUUAAGCUUUCGCUUUGUGCAAGGCCCAGUGACCUGAUUCUAGCAAUAUGAGCUUCAGCUCAUUCGACGCAGGCCCAGG